rnacentral:rRNA from 1 species
GAUGAACGCUGGCGGCGUGCUUAACACAUGCAAGUCGAACGGAAAGGCCAGUGCUUGCACUGGUACUCGAGUGGCGAACGGGUGAGUAACACGUGGGUGAUCUGCCCUGCACUUCGGGAUAAGCCUGGGAAACUGGGGCUAAUACCGGAUAGGACAAUGGUUUGGAUGCCGUUGUGGAAAGUUUUUUCGGUGUGGGAUGAGCUCGCGGCCUAUCAGCUUGUUGGUGGGGUAUUGGCCUACCAAGGCGUCGAAGGGUAGCCGGCCUGAGAGGGUGUGAGGCCACGUUCAGACUCCGAUGCGGGGCAGAAGCAGGCGGUAGGCAGCAGUGGGGGAAAGUGCACAAUGGGCGCAAGCCGGAUGCGGCGACGGCGCGUGGGGGGUGACGGUCUUCGGGUUGUAAACACCAUACGCGAGGGACGAAGCGCAUUUGUGGCGGUACCUGGAGAAGAAGCACCGGCUAACUACGUGC